GGUUUCCUGAUUUUGUGUUUUGAGGCACUAAAGGCACUUAAUACGUGUGUUAUAAUUCCAAUUUAUGUCAGAUAAGUAGCUGAAUUGACAGAGAGACUAUCUCCUUGCCCGUUGCUGGCCAUGAGGAGACAGCCCGGUUAAGCAGGAGACAGUAAGAGGCAUUGGCAGCAUCCUGGCUCACAUCUUUCCCUGCAGGAAGAGAGUGAGGGCGGAGGCUUCGAGGAGACUCCCUCCUGCUUCUCUACUGAGGCGAAAAUCCCCGCAUCUGCGGCCACCUUCUCUGCAUAGAUUGCUACGUUGGCCUCUGAGCCCAAAGAAACCCUCCGUCCUCUUCCAGACUCUUCAGCGCCAUGGUCCUAGGCCCUUUGGGAUGGGGUAGACAUCAGAGCUCCUGCCCUGGACCAGGCUUCCAAAUUCAACGUCAUCUGCAGAGUAGACUGAGAGCGCCGAGUAAACUGAGGCAAAUGCUCUGAGGAGGAAAUCAAGGCCAAGAAACUGUAACAGUUCCUAGUUCAAGGCUCUCUGCCAGACCACUGUUCUUCAGCAUGUGCGUGGAAGAAAUGCAUGCCCGUGAACUCUGUGGGGCCAGAGGGCAGUGAUACCGGCUGGAACGGAAGAUGACUCCCCUCUAAAGGAGCUGACAGUCUGGGACUGAGGUCAGAACGUCCAGCAGCUGCUGGCCUGGCCCCGGGCUGGCAGCAAACUCUCUGAACCUUGGCUUGUUUUUAUGCAGGAUGGCAAGAGGGACAAGAUAAUCUUCCAGAUAACCUACAGUUUUAUAAUUGUAUAAUUCUUUGGA